AACGAACGCUGGCGGCAGGCCUAACACAUGCAAGUCGAGCGGACCUUUCGGGGUCAGCGGCGGACGGGUGAGUAACGCGUGGGAAUAUGCCCUUCUCUACGGAAUAGUCCUGGGAAACUGGGGGUAAUACCGUAUACGCCCUUUGGGGGAAAGAUUUAUCGGGGAAGGAUUAGCCCGCGUUGGAUUAGGUAGUUGGUGGGGUAAUGGCCUACCAAGCCGACGAUCCAUAGCUGGUUUGAGAGGAUGAUCAGCCACACUGGGACUGAGACACGGUCCAGACUCCUACGGGAGGCAGCAGUGGGGAAUCUUAGACAAUGGGGGCAACCCUGAUCUAGCCAUGCCGCGUGAGUGAUGAAGGCCUUAGGGUUGUAAAGCUCUUUCAGCUGGGAAGAUAAUGACGGUACCAGCAGAAGAAGCCCCGGCUAACUCCGUG
rnacentral:rRNA from 1 species